GGAUUAGUCACUGGAGCAGCACGGGAGAACUAAGGAUUCCUUGUAAAAGAAGUGCCUGCAAACCGGGUGUCUGCUACUCAUCACUCCCCUCACUUGCAGAUAUGAAAUUGUGAUAAUCCUGAUACAAAACACUCAUACAAGCACAUAUCACUGUGGCUGCAGCAUUUAUCAUGUUUUUCCUCAAAGGAAUAUUCAAGAAAAAUGAAUAUCAAAAAGUCUGUGAGGAUCAAGAUGAAUCAUUUGACACACGCAUAUUUCAAUGAACAUGUGGGUGGACACCAGAAUGUUUUACCCUUACUGCUGUUAACUUUCAGGCUACAAAAUUAUCAGGUAUCAUCAAAAUUAUGUCAUUGAUUACACAGAAUCUUCAGCAACAAAAUCUGCCAGGUGACGGCUAAAGAAUUAUUCCGAGAUUUGGAAGAUUUAAAUUGAGCCUCAUGUUAGUAUAUAGAUUUCCUGUGUGAUCGCAUGCAUGUUACUGAGGUCAUUUAAACGUGAUGCAGAAAAUCUAUGCUUUCUCCUCUGUAUAAGAGGAUUCAUUUCUAGUUCUCUCAGAACAGUUGUCUCAUCAUCAGGAAAUAAGGUUUGGUUUGGGCACAAUCUUUUAACUCACCUUUACUGCUGAAGCAAGAUGACAUUUGAAGGUCCCUUCCAAUCCAACUGUUCUAUGAUUCUAUGACCAUAACUGUCUACGAUAUUUCUGGUGUCAGCAAACCAUGGAUGUAUUCAAUGGUUUAAUGUAAUUUGCUCUUUGUUGUCUUUUCCUAUUCCAGUAUUUUCUAAUGUUUGAUUUUCUUUCUGACCUUUGCUGAGCACUAGGCACAGCAUGUGUCUCUAUAUCAUUCCAGUGUCUUGCUCCUAAAUGGUAAUGGCCGUCUCAGAGCACAUCAUAUUAUAUAUGAAGGUAGGACAAUCUUCCCUAUGUGCAACAUUUUACACCAAAUUAUCAUACAUAGUUUAUAUAUAUAUAAUUUACUCCAGAAAUGAGAAUCAGAAAUAGUAACAUAAUCAGCGUCACAUGAAAAAGAGAGAUCAGAUUCCUAAUACUUACUCCAAUAAAUAAUUAAAAUUUUAUAUUACUUAUUAAUUG
rnacentral:lncRNA from 1 species